GGGCCCGCACAAGCGGUGGAGCAUGUGGUUUAAUUCGAUGAUACGCGAGGAACCUUACCAGGGCUUAAAUGUUAGGUGACAGAUCUAGAAAUAGAUUUUUCUUCGGACACUUAACAAGGUGCUGCAUGGUUGUCGUCAGCUCGUGCCGUGAGGUGUCAGGUUAAGUCCUAUAACGAGCGCAACCCCUGUUGUUAGUUGCCAGCGAGUAAUGUCGGGAACUCUAGCAAGACUGCCAGUGCAAACUGUGAGGAAGGUGGGGAUGACGUCAAAUCAUCACGGCCCUUACGUCCUGGCUACACACGUGCUACAAUGGUAGGUACAGAGAGCAGCCAAUGCGCGAGCAUGAGCAAA
rnacentral:rRNA from 1 species